rnacentral:rRNA from 1 species
AAAAGACCGGAGGAAGGUGAGGAUGAUGUCAAGUCAGCAUGACCUUUAUAUCCAGGGCUACACACACGCUACAAUGGUCUGUACAAUGGGUAGCCAAGCCGCGAGGCGAGCCAAUCCUGAAAGCAGGCCUCAGUUCAGAUUGUAGUCUGCAACUCGACUGCAUGAAGCCGGAGUUGCUAGUAACCGCAGGUCAGCAAUACUGCGGUGAAUACGUUCCCGGGUCUU